GAUUAAUUUAAAGGGCCGCGGUAAUUUGACCGUGCGAAGGUAGCAUAGUCAGUAGUCUUUUAAUUGAAGGCUUGAAUGAAAGGUUGGACGAGGGAUAAGCUGUCUCUUUUAUGUAGUUUGAAUUUAACUUUUGAGUGAAAAGGCUCAAAUUGUUUAGUGGGACGAUAAGACCCUAUAAAACUUGAUAUAAAUUUAAUUAACUUAUAAUUUAAGUGAAAAGUAUUUUAAGUGGUUUUAUAUUUUGUUGGGGAGAUGUAGAUAUAAUGUGUAACUGUUUAUAAAAUUUAAUAAUUAUAAUUAGUAUUUGAUCCUUCUUUGUGGAUUAAAAGUGUAAGUUACUUUAGGGAUAACAGCGUAAUUUUCUUUGAGAGUUCUUAUCGACAAGAGUAGUUGCGACCUCGAUGUUGAAUUAAAAUUUCAGCUAGGUGUAGCCGUUUAGCUGGUAGGUCUGUUCGACCUUUAAAAUUUUACAUGAUUUGAGUUCAAACCGGUGUGAGCCAGG
rnacentral:rRNA from 1 species